AUGGCCUGGCCUCCUUCUUUGGUACAAAAUGAUGAGGGUCCCUGUUCAAAAGAUCAAGCUUUGUCUACCGCAAGCUCUGAAGGAUGUGAUGUGAAGGCUGGAGGUGGCCAAACAUUGCCUGCAUCUGUUGCGAAAGCAUAA
rnacentral:rRNA from 1 species